GCGCCCGUAGCUCAGUUGGAUAGAGUAUUUGGCUACGAACCAAAAGGUCGGAGGUUCGAAUCCUUCCGGGCGCGCCA
rnacentral:tRNA from 3 species